rnacentral:rRNA from 1 species
UACGGAGGGUGCAAGCGUUAUCCGGAUUUACUGGGUUUAAAGGGUGCGUAGGCGGAUUUGUAAGUCCGAGGUGAAAUCUCCGAGCUUAACUCGGAAACUGCCUUGGAUACUAUAAGUCUUGAAUGACGUUGAGGUUAGCGGAAUAUGUCAUGUAGCGGUGACAUGCUUAGAUAUGUCGUAGAUCAUCUAUUGCGAAGGCAGCUAACUAAGCGUAUUUUGACGCUGAUGCACGAAAGCGUGGGGAUCAAACAGG